rnacentral:rRNA from 1 species
GAUGAACGCUGGCGGCGUGCUUAACACAUGCAAGUCGAACGGAAAGGCCCAAGCUUGCUUGGGUACUCGAGUGGCGAACGGGUGAGUAACACGUGGGUGAUCUGCCCUGCACUUCGGGAUAAGCCUGGGAAACUGGGUCUAAUACCGGAUAGGACGAUGGUUUGGAUGCCAUUGUGGAAAGUUUUUUCGGUGUGGGAUGAGCUCGCGGCCUAUCAGCUUGUUGGUGGGGUAAUGGCCUACCAAGGCGUCGACGGGUAGCCGGCCUGAGAGGGUGUACGGCCACUUUGGGACUGGGAUACGGCCCAGACCCCUACGGGGGGCGGCAGGGGGGAAUAUUGCAAAAGGGGGGCAAGCCUGAGGCGCGGACGCCGGGGGGGGGAUGACGGCCUUCGGGUUGAAAACCCCUUUCGCUGGGGACGAAGCUUUUUUGUGACGGUACCGGGAAAAGAAGCCCCGGCUAACUACGU